rnacentral:rRNA from 1 species
UUGAGAGGGUAAGGCUCCCAGUAGACGACUGGGUUGAUAGGCCGGAUAUGGAAGCCCUGUAAGGGGUGGAGUUGACCGGUACUAAUAGGCCGAGGGCUUGUCCUC